rnacentral:rRNA from 1 species
AUGAACGUUGGCGGCGUGGAUUAGGCAUGCAAGUCGUACGGACCAGGGUAGCAAUACACUGGUUAGUGGCGAAAGGGAGAGUAACGCGUGGAUAUCUGCCCUCGGGUCCGGGAUAGCUGCGGGAAACUGCGGGUAAUACCGGAUAACGUCUAAGGACCAAAGGUGUAAUUCCGUCCGAGGAUGAGUCCGCGUCCUAUUAGCUUGUUGGUGGGGUAAUGGCCUACCAAGGCAAUGAUGGGUACUGGGUGUGAGAGCAUGACCCAGCUCACUGGGACUGAGACACUGCCCAGACACCUACGGGUGGCUGCAGUCGAGGAUCUUCGGCAAUGGGCGCAAGCCUGACCGAGCGACGCCGCGUGCGGGAUGAAGGCCUUCGGGUCGUAAACCGCUGUCAGAGGGGAUGAAAUGCGUAGGGGUUCUCUCCUACGUUUGACAUAUCCUCAGAGGAAGUACGGGCUAAGUUCGU